rnacentral:rRNA from 1 species
AGAUAGCUUAGUGCCUUCGGGAACUCUGAGACAGGUGCUGCAUGGCUGUCGUCCGCUCGUGUUGUGAAAUGUUGGGUUAAGUCCCGCAACGAGCGCAACCCUUAUCCUUUGUUGCCAGCACGUAAUGGUGGGAACUCAAAGGAGACUGCCGGUGAUAAACCGGAGGAAGGUGGGGAUGACGUCAAGUCAUCAUGGCCCUUACGAGUAGGGCUACACACGUGCUACAAUGGCAUAUACAAAGAGAAGCGAACUCGCGAGAGCAAGCGGACCUCAUAAAGUAUGUCGUAGUCCGGAUUGGAGUCUGCAACUCGACUCCAUGAAGUCGGAAUCGCUAGUAAUCGUAGAUCAGAAUGCUACGGUGAAUACGUUCCCGGGUCUUGUACACACCGAGAA